rnacentral:lncRNA from 1 species
GAAUGUCUUUUAUUCUUUGUUUGUCAAAUUUUGAAUCGUGUCUUGAGAAUACAGAAUAUAUAAAGUUCGUCAGAGUCGGAAUAUUGCAGUGCUUCAACUUUGGAUUAUAGAUUGUUAAAUCCUGGGAAUGGACGCCUACCAAACUACAUUUAAACAAACCUCAAUCUCCAGGUUUGUUUGUUACACUUCUUACUUUCUCUGUUGCUUACUUUGAUUGCAUACACACUUAUUGUUGUAGUAUUUUGGUUUGUGAUUUUUAUGAUUAUUCUUAAUGACUAGAAUUUAUGUUGUUAUUUUCAUAUUUUCUAACAUUACUCCAACAUUAGACGGAGGAAGACAUAUGUAAGGUCAUUGUGGAUAACUCCAAGAAGGUCGUAUGUAAUGUAAUAUGUAAGUAGUCUGAAAAUUGCAUAACCAGUUGGGCACGUCGCUGCUAAUGAUACGUUACUACGGAUGCUACAAAAAAUAACAAUGUAUAAGGUUAAAACUUGUGUUUCUCUUGAUGACUAUUUUAGUGAUUCGAGUGAAACGUCAUACUGAGGCACAUUUAAUUACUUAUUAUUUAAGUAGGAAACAUUUUGUAAAUACUAGAGAUACUUUAUUUUAAUCUAAAUUGUGAGUAGAGAGAUUUAAACUUACAUGCAUAAAAAAGAGCAAGUCAUUCCAACCAAUAUGGCUAUGCACAAGUUUACAACGUUUUCUAUUCCGAAGAUGAAUGACUAUAAUGUAAGUAUAGUUAGAAUUUUUGUGGUCAACCGUAUGGUUCCUUUUUUCUUGGUUUAAUUAUUCUCACUUUUAGUUGCUUCUUAUACUGAAUUAUGUACAUUUUUUUUAUAAGAGGCAGAUCAGUGACACUAUUUUUUUACAUAAUUUUUGACACACUUUUUGUACGGCCCACUUCGUAAUGUAUUUUAAUGAUCCGAACAUUGUAUCUUUUAGAAUAUCAUUCAUAAACUCUAAAACCUCAAUCAUUGCAAUUGGCAAUAAUCUUUCUAUGGACGUCCGGAAAUUUGUUUCAUGUAGCUUAAUGGUUACAUGGUUUUAGAUUUGGAUAAUUUUUAGUAGAUAUGAUCCAUUACGAAUUAAGCUCCAUAAAAACUUGUGUCAAACGUUAUGUAAAGAAAGUAGUGUCAUAGAUUCGUUCAUUUUUUUAUAUUGCUUAUAUAAUUUUUGGUAUUAUAUAUCAUGUAUGGCUUCUAGGCAGCCCACAAACAAGACAAGGCAAUCAUUAGGUCGUAGUUAAUAGAAGCCUAUUUCAUAUAUGGUCAAAUGGCCUAAAAUUCUAAAUCGUUGUGCUUUCCACGGUCAUCAUUCUGCGUAGCAUGCAUUUCCCUAAAAUUCUACUAACAGACGUAUCGUACAAGGCUACGCAUUUGUCUGAAUGAAACUGGACAAACUUUGGUUGGAGACGUCAGGAGCUUCUUUCCAGCCAUAUGUUUGUCCGAGACUUCUUUCCAUCCUUGUGUACGUAGACUAAAACCAGCUUGUCAAAGGCAACCAAAUUGGCACCAUGAUUGAGACCAGUACUGUAACAGGAUAUGACAGCGAGAGGCUCUCCAAAGUUCUAUUACCGUGGUCAAUUAUAUUUUGUCUAUUAAAGUGAGACUCUCUAUUUCUUUGACUUAUUCAAUCCUCGUACAACAUGAAUUAGCAAUCCUCUCACAAUAAGACUUUUCUAUUUAAACUUGGGACAAAAAUAAUGGGCUUCUAAGACUCAUAUUCAUGAUCAUAUUCUUACCAAUCUUUAAAUGAAGAUUACAAAAUUGAAAGGUUUUAUUAUAAAAUUUUUACAGUGAAGAUACGCUAUUCGCAAGGCGUGUGAUAUGUGCAUUCUCCCAUGUGAGUUGUAAGUGAUAUCCAUUAUAUUCUAUUCUAAGGAGAGAUGAUAUAUUCUACUCUAAGGAGAUAUGAUAUAUAUCUACUCCAAGGAGAGGCGAUUGAGCGAAGCACACAAUGUGCUAGCCAUAACUAGGUAUCGAACUUACGACAAAUAUUAUACGUAGUUGUCAUCCACGUAACUCGAACAUGAGACUUCUUACAAACAACUGAAGAGAAAUAUAAUUAAACUGUGUUUAUAUUUUUUAAAAUUUGACAAAUAACUCUAAAGUUACAAGUAGUUACAAAAUUAUUUUUUAAUUACAAACAAUAUUCUACACUAAUCUACACUAAGUGGAGGUGAGAGCGUUUGGACUCGAUAUACAAUGAGUUGGAAAAGAAGACCCAAACCAUGCACCAGAUCAAUCUACCACUUGCGCGGUUACAAAAUUGUUAAUAACUCAUGCAUGACUAUCAAGUUUACUGCUUUAUGCUGCAUAAGAGGGAUUUUUUUUUUCAAUUUCUAAGUUAUGAUUUUAUUUAUAAGAAGAAAUAAAAAGUCUUAUUUGUUAUAAGCAUAAUUUACUGAACAAUUAUAUAGGACAUACAAGUUUACUACUUUAUGCCGCAUAAGAGGGUUUUUUUUGUUUUUCAAUUUCUAAGUUAUGAUUUUAUUUAUAAGAAGAAAAAAAAAAGUCUUAUUUGUUAUAAGCAUAAUUUACUGAACAAUUAUAGAGGACAUCAAGAAGGUGUGGCACAUUAGAGAGGGGUGUGGCACAUUAGAGAGAGAUGUGUAAUUGUGAGGUGUGUUAUUCCACCCCAUCGUGUCUUUAUUUAUAGUAGUAGAGAAGGUAAAUUCCUUAUCCCAAUAGGAUUACAACUCUAAUAGGAUAAUAUCUAGUCUAAAAGAUAUGGUAGAAUCCUAUAAGGAUAUCCUAGAUAUGUUAGGAUUUACACAAUCACAUUCCUAAUCUAAUAGGAUUGCAACACCCCCCCCCCUUGAGUGUGUAAAUAUUCAAACAAAUGACAUCAGGUCUUCAGCGAUGAAGUAAGUACAGUUGAUGAAGUCAUUGGCACAAUGAGCGAAUGUGAGUCUCAAAGUAAUCGAAGAAUGCAUAAAAGCUAAAAAUCACAAAACCUAGCCAUGGUAAAACCCAAGGUGGGAGAAAAACCCAUAGGCUAAGGAGAAAAGUGAGAAGUUUCAUUAAGUCAAAACUAUACGUCUUCGGGACACAAAUAGAAGAGCUUACAGGGGUAUGACCAGCCUAGGAUGGGUGCCUCGUCAAAACCUAGUUAGAUAGCAAAAAUCCUGUGGGAAAAAUGCUCCUAAUCGUAGGGGAAAAAGUACAUUAAGAUCAAGUGAGUAUACUUUUGGAUACUCCCCCUGAGUUUGACAAAACUUCUAAAUGAGAACUACAAGCAUUGCAUAUGAAUAGUUAGCAUACCAAUUCCUCAGAUAAGCUUCUGGAAUGUUGACUUUGGCAAUGAUGUCGUGUAAAGGUCUGCAAGGUUGUCUGGGAUCGGCUUGCAUGACUUCAAUCUCCUGAUGCUUUGCUGAUGUGAUGUAGACGUAAUAUGUCUUGGUGUUGGCUUUGUUGAUGUAUCAUGUCUUGGUCGAGUUGAUACAUAUGGCAUAGUCUUUAUGGAUCAUUGUCGGGACUCAACAAUGGAUGAAAACAGCAAGUACUUCGAAUAUGCAUAAUAAAAGCUCUCAACCAUGUCUCACAUAUGGCAUAGUGAAUUAAGGUGAGUCUUGGAACGAGUAAAAAAUUUCGCAACUAAUGUCAUAUUGUGGACAUCUAAGAUAUUGUGAUAUCCCUAAUGGUAAAGACAUGACCAUUCGGGGAUAUACCUUGUGCGGGUUUGAUAAGUAACCAGCGUCAACAUAAUAAACAAGGCAAGCAUCAUUCCGAUCAUUAGGGUCAGAUUUGUUCAGGAUGCAUUAGGAUUAGCCCAAAUCCAUAGUACCUUCAUGGUAGUGGAAAAACGUCUGUAAUACCAAUUUAGUGGUUGCG